CACGUAGGAGGCAAGCGUUAUUCGGAUUUACUGGGCGUAAAGCGCGUGUAGGCGGUUUGGAGAGUUGGAUGUGAAAGCUCCUGGCUUAACUGGGAGAGGCCGUUCAAUACUUCCGGACUUGAGGAUGGUAGAGGAAGAUGGAAUUCCGAGUGUAGUGGUGAAAUGCGCAGAUAUUCGGAGGAACACCAGUGGCGAAAGCGAUCUUCUAGACCAUAACUGACGCUCAGACGCGAAAGCUAGGGUAGCAAACAGG
rnacentral:rRNA from 1 species